AGGGCUAAAGUCAACAGGUGAUUCCAAUUCAACCCAGUGGAUGAUUUCUUCUAUGUUCUAAAAUUAGGACAGCCUAGCUUUCUCUUCCUCGCUCUCUUUCACAUUUUGUUUGUCUAAAACUAUUAUCCACGCAACAAUUUCCACCACAGCAGUGGAGGACCCUGGCAUGCAAGUGGAGAGGAGAAAGUCAGCAGAAGACAGGACUAAAAUAUGAAAGAGCCUGGAGAGCAUUUUAGUUCCUGGUUUUCAUCUUUACCUGCCUUUGGUAUCCUAUGGCAUAUCUGUUUUAGUAAUUUUCUGCUUAGCUUAAGCUAUUUCAAGUUGCUUUCUCUCAGUUGUAACUGAAACAGUCCUAACUAGCAUAAUCUCCAAGUCAUACCCACUGGCACAAGAAAGCGUGGACUGAUUGCCAGUAUUUUUUUCAUACCCUGACACUGGUAUAACUGUAGUUUCCCCAGAGCACCUGGGAUCAUACCUCUGGGGGGAAAUGGACAUAACACGGGACUCUGCCUUUUGCCUUCUUCUGAUUUAACUUUCUUAGUAGUCGCUGUGCCAGUCCAGGAUCUCCUAGGCCUACCAUAUUCUGCAGUUGGCUCAGGCUUGGCUCGUUUAUUAAAACCGUCUUGUUUUCUGUCCUCGCCUAGCCUAAGUUAUUUUUGCUACUUUGCCUAGAGGAAGGGAGAAAGGAACUAAUGGGCAGAAAAAUUAGGAAAAGUUAAAAAGUGUGGAGAAUGGAAGAUGUAAGAAAAGUAAAUGAUAAAGAGGGAAGGAAUGCCAAAGCAACCAGAAAGGGUGGGGUUAGAAAUAAAUAAGGAAAAUAGGAGGAAGUUGAUAAGAAAAGUGA
rnacentral:lncRNA from 10 species